rnacentral:rRNA from 1 species
GUGCUUAACACAUGCAAGUCGAGCGGUAAGGCCCUUCGGGGUACACGAGCGGCGAACGGGUGAGUAACACGUGGGUGACCUGCCCUCAGCUCUGGGAUAAGCCUGGGAAACCGGGUCUAAUACCGGAUACGACUACCGGAUGCAUGUCUGGUGGUGGAAAGUUUUUUCGGCUGGGGAUGGGCCCGCGGCCUAUCAGCUUGUUGGUGGGGUGAUGGCCUACCAAGGCGGUGACGGGUAGCCGGCCUGAGAGGGCGACCGGCCACACUGGGACUGAGACACGGCCCAGACUCCUACGGGAGGCAGCAGUGGGGAAUAUUGCGCAAUGGGCGGAAGCCUGACGCAGCGACGCCGCGUGGGGGAUGACGGCCUUCGGGUUGUAAACCUCUUUCGCCAGGGACGAAGCUUUUGUGACGGUACCUGGAGAAGAAGC